GGACUUAAAUUUUGAGCCUUAGUAGAGAAAUCUGCUAAGUGACUGUUUUCACAUUCAGGGAAACCUAAGUUUUGAAAUAUGAGGUAAUCCUGAGCCAAAUUUUAGUUAUGAAAUAGGUGCAGAGACUCGACGGAAACUAUCCUAACGAAAAAUUUUUUCUCUAUUUUUUUAUUACGAGUAUUGAUUCAGUACAGAGUACAGAAUAUUUUCGAAAUAAUAAAAACAUCUGAAUACUAAUAUUAUAUUCAUAUUAAUUUUUAAAUAAAUUAUAAUAGACGAGGAUAAAGAUAGAGUCCUUCUUUACAAUCUAUAUAAUUUUUAUUUAUAGAUAAUUGUAAAAAGAAAAUCCGUUGGCUUUAAUAGACCUUGAGGGUUCAAGUCCCUCUACCCCCA
rnacentral:ncRNA from 1 species